AUUGAACGCUGGCGGCAUGCCUUACACAUGCAAGUCGAACGGUAACGCGGGGCAACCUGGCGACGAGUGGCGAACGGGUGAGUAAUGCAUCGGAACGUGCCCAGUUGUGGGGGAUAACUGCUCGAAAGAGCAGCUAAUACCGCAUACGACCUGAGGGUGAAAGCGGGGGAUCGCACGACCUUGCGCAAUUGGAGCGGCCGAUGUCGGAUUAGCUAGUUGGUGGGGUAAAGGCCCACCAAGGCGACGAUCCGUAGCUGGUCUGAGAGGACGACCAGCCACACUGGGACUGAGACACGGCCCAGACUCCUACGGGAGGCAGCAGUGGGGAAUUUUGGACAAUGGACGCAAGUCUGAUCCAGCCAUGCCGCGUGCGGGAAGAAGGCCUUCGGGUUGUAAACCGCUUUUGUCAGGGAAGAAAUCUUCUGGGUUAAUACCUCGGGAGGAUGACGGUACCUGAAGAAUAAGCACCGGCUAACUACGUGCCAGCCGCCGCCGUAAGAC
rnacentral:rRNA from 1 species